rnacentral:rRNA from 1 species
GACGAACGCUGGCGGCGUGCUUAACACAUGCAAGUCGAACGGAAAGGCCUUUUCGGAGGUACUCGAGUGGCGAACGGGUGAGUAACACGUGGGUGAUCUGCCCUGCACUCUGGGAUAAGCCUGGGAAACUGGGCCUAAUACCGGAUAGGACCGCACUUUAGUGUGUGUGGUGGAAAGUUUUUUCGGUGUAGGAUGAGCCCGCGGCCUAUCAGCUUGUUGGUGGGGUAAUGGCCUACCAAGGCGGCGACGGGUAGCCGGACUGAGAGGUUGGUCGGCCACAUUGGGACUGAGAUACGGCCCAGACUCCUACGGGAGGCAGCAGUGGGGAAUAUUGCACAAUGGGCGCAAGCCUGAUGCAGCGACGCCGCGGGGGGGAUGACGGCCUUCGGGUUGUAAACUCCUUUCGCCAGGGACGAAGCGUUUUGUGACGGUACCUGGAGAAGAAGCACCGGCUAACUACGUG